UACGGAGGGUGCAAACGUUGCUCGGAAUCAUUGGGCGUAAAGCGCACGUAGGCGGCGCGUUAAGUCGGGUGUGAAAGCCCCGGGCUCAACCCGGGAAGUGCAUUCGAAACUGGCGCGCUUGAGUAUGGAAGAGGGUCUCGGAAUUCCCGGUGUAGAGGUGAAAUUCGUAGAUAUCGGGAGGAACACCAGUGGCGAAGGCGGAGACCUGGGCCAAUACUGACGCUGAGGUGCGAAAGCGUGGGGAGCAAACAGG
rnacentral:rRNA from 1 species